rnacentral:misc_RNA from 1 species
GGCGAUGACGACUAGCAAGCAUGCUGAACGCUCACGAAUGAUGACGUGAACACCCACCGAGC